rnacentral:rRNA from 1 species
AGCAGCCGCGGUAAUUCCAGCUCCAAUAGCGUAUAUUAAAGUUGUUGCAGUUAAAAAGCUCGUAGUUGAAUUUCGGGGUUAGCAAGUUGGUCGUGCCUUCGGUAUGCACUGGCUUUGCUGAUUCCUCUUUCUUGAAGAACUGUGAUGCUAUUAAUUUGGUGUUGCAGGGAAACAGGACUGUUACUUUGAAAAAAUUAGAGUGUUUAAAGCAGGCUAACGCUUGAAUACAUUAGCAUGGAAUAAUGAAAUAGGACGUUUGAUCCUAUUUUGUUGGUUUCUAGGAUUGACGUAAUGAUUAAUAGGGAUAGUUGGGGGCAUUAGUAUUCAAUUGUCAGAGGUGAAAUUCUUGGAUUUAUUGAAGACUAACUACUGCGAAAGCAUUUGCCAAGGAUGUUUUCAUUAAUCAAGAACGAAAGUUAGGGGAUCGAAGACGAUCAGAUACCGUCGUAGUCUUAACCAUAAACUAUGCCGACUAGGGAUCGGAUGAUGUUAAUUUUUAAUGA